ACGGCAGCGCGGGAGCAAUCCUGGCGGCGAGUGGCGAACGGGUGAGUAAUAUAUCGGAACGUGCCCUGUAGCGGGGGAUAACCUAUCGAAAGAUGGACUAAUACCGCAUACGCUCUACGGAGGAAAGCGGGGGUCGCAAGACCUCGCACUAUAGGAGCGGCCGAUAUCGGAUUAGCUAGUUGGCGGGGUAAAAGCCCACCAAGGCGACGAUCCGUAGCUGGUCUGAGAGGAUGAUCAGCCACACUGGAACUGAGACACGGUCCAGACUCCUACGGGAGGCAGCAGUGGGGAAUUUUGGACAAUGGGCGCAAGCCUGAUCCAGCCAUGCCGCGUGAGUGAAGAAGGCCUUCGGGUUGUAAAGCUCUUUCGGCAGGAACGAAAUGGUUCGUGCUAAUACCACGGACUGAUGACGGUACCUGAAGAAGAAGCACCGGCUAACUACGUGCCAGCAGCCGCGGUAAUACGUAGGGUGCAGGCGUUAAUCGGAAUUACUGGGCGUAAAGCGUGCGCAGGCGGUUUCUUAAGUCAGAUGUGAAAGCCCCGGGCUUAACCUGGGAACUGCGUUUGAAACUGGGAGACUUGAGUGUGGCAGAGGGGGGUGGAAUUCCACGUGUAGCAGUGAAAUGCGUAGAUAUGUGGAGGAACACCGAUGGCGAAGGCAGCCCCCUGGGUUAACACUGACGCUCAUGCACGA
rnacentral:rRNA from 1 species